UUCACUUUUAGAAUUCAUUGUUUCAUAACUUCAUCUCUUUAUGCUCAGCUUUCCCCAUUCCCACUAAAAAAGUUUCCUUUCUCUGAUAUUGGUUUUCUUAAUUCUUCACCGAAGGCUUUUCUGAAGGAGAAUUACUAAAAGAUUCAGCCAGCCCUAGACUCUUAGAUUCUUUAUACUUGGACUCAGAUGAAAGGAAAAAUUGAGAAUGUAAACAUCCUAUUUGCUUCCUUAGAAGAAAAUUUUAUUUUGUUUGAUCAGCUCCAUGUUAAACAACUGUGUGAAUAUUUUUCUUGAAACAUCCUCUCUCUUCCACUCCUAUCUCCACAGCUCACUCUACUGUUAGUUUUGCUUAAAAGUUAUCAAUGGAAUUUAGACAUCAAAGCACUUUCAGCUUCAUUUCUCCACUCUGGCUCCACAGGCUACAACCACCACCCUCCAGUGUCGUAAGCUACAGAAAUCAUUCCACAUCUUACUUUUGUUCAUUUAUAUCUGGGUGAGCUAGAGGAGAUUGUCUUUCUUUUGUAGAAUCUAUAGUAUUGAAAAUAAACUAGAUCAGUGACCUAAUUCCUGGUUAAUGAGUCCUUUAUUCCCUAAUGUUCCCAUUAAUUUUCAAUCCAAUGGAAUUCUUGUCUUCUUGAAAUACAGCUAAAAUAUAAUAACUGUGUAGUAAUUAUUUUUUUCAGCGCAAAAAUUCCAAAUGUCCAUUCUAUUAACUGAGCAAAUGGAGGUCAUAGUUACAUCAGCCGUUAAAUGUCUUUACAGGAAUUAAAGAAAACUGAUCAUGCUCCAGUUUGAAAGGGCCACAAUUAAGCAGUGUUUUUGUAUUACUUCUCAGAGGAAGAUUCUAAAGGGAGGGAUGAUGCAUUAAGUGCUGGGAAAAAAAAAAAAAAGAGAGAGAGAGAGAGUCUUCAGUCUUGGGAAUGUAACAACUUGGUGGGGGGCUGAGUGCCCUGAGGCAGACUGACCCAAUCAGCUGCUGGGAAAAGUAAUACAGCUGUUCUGCUGGAGGGAGACACAUUCUAAGCCGGUAUGGUCCACUAUCGGGGAGCUUUUGGUAUCAUGAGAAAAGGAAGUGCUGUUCCUUUCAACUGAGAAGCUGUAGAAUGUCUCACUCAUCCUUUUUUUUUUUUUAAUGCUGACUCCUCUUUUUGUUUUUAUUAGCUUUGUGAUAAAAUUUCCAUUUGAAAAUUGAUGAUACAAAUCAGAAGUGCUUCAAAUCAUCUAUUUAAUAUUUAUAGAUGAAAUUUAUCUCUUUCCUUAAAAAAUGUUUAAAGAAAACAUAUCUGAAUUAGAACUUAGUGUUUACUGCACAUAAGAUGAAAUGGAAACUAACCUCUUUAUUGCAUGUGGGUUUUUUUGUUUUUGUUUUUGUUUUUUUAUUCCUUGACUUAUUCAGUUAAUUUGGAUUUACUAUUUGUAAGGUGAAAAGAAACACUUUCCCCCACAACUCUGUGGUCUAUUGGGAGACUUUACACAGUAGGAAAAAAAAUGUGAGCAACUACCUAUCAUUAUUAUAGAACGGAUUUUCAGAUGGAACACUAAGAAUUUACUCAAACGUAUUCCUUGGAACUAUUUCAUCAUAAAAACCAAAAUAUGAUUAAAUUAAUACUGCUGAUUCAAUGAGCUCAUUUGACAACAGUUGCAAGGUGCAAUUUGAGGAGUUUUAUGGGCCAAUGUUAAGGUUAGGCAUAUACUUUCUACCCCCAAACCCCUGUAUUGUAUUAUUCAGAAAAUAUAGUGGAGUCAACGGAUAGGUCCUUGAAAAAAAAAAAUAGAAAAAAGAAAAAGAAGAAAUGCCUUUUAUUUCCCAAUGCUUAUUAAUUCAAAAUUUAUUUACAUUUUUCAGUGGAUGGAUCAUGUAGUUUAAUACAUAAGGUGGCAUAUAAAUAGUGGCAACACCAAAGACAGGCUCAGGGGACCAUCUUGCAGGGCCCUUCCCCUCGCCCCAGCUACCACCACAAAUUUAAUAAUGUUUUUCUCCAUCUAGACCAUUGCCAUUUUCUCAAUCAUGUGAAAAUCAUCUCUCUUGAAAACAUUUCUAUUUUCAUUGAUCUGUGAUUUAUAAUUUAAGUAAAAACAAAUAAGACAAGUCCCUUAACUUUCCUCACCUCCACUUCCUGCUGCCCCUCAAUUCCUCCAUGUGAAUAUGCAGACCCCAGCAGGUGUAUGAGUGAACAUGGACACAUAAGUUUAUUUUACAGUUCAUUUUCAUACAACAAAACUAAAAGAGUAGUGCCAGUAUUCCAUAAAGACCCAAACUGUUAUGCAAAUAAAGUUCUUACUAAAGAAAAAGAGACAAAGAUGAUUUUCUGGAGAGCAGAAAGACUCAAAUUAAAUGGCAAUAUAGCAUAUGCUCUAUGACUGGUUUGGACGAAGUCAUUAAAGCAGAUCUUAUUCUACCAUCUUUAUGUAAGUAUGUUUUACAGAAAAUGUAUACUGGAAAAUAAGGAAAUAAUGGGGAUUGUCUGUGGAUUAAAAAUUAUUGAAUUGGCUUGAACUUACUUUUUUGUUAUUUUUUUAAUGUUUGUUUAUUUUUGAGAGAGUCAGAGACAGAGUGUGAGCAGGGGAGGGGCAGAGAGAGAGGGAGACACAGAAUCCAAAGCAGGCUCCAGGCUCUGAGCUGUCAGCACAGAGCCCGACAUGGGGCUUGAACCCAUGAGCCAGGAGAUCAUAACCUGAGCUGAAAUCAGAUGCUCAAUCAACUGAGUCACCCAGGUGACCCAAGCUUCCUUUUUGAGGGUUUCCAUCUACCACCUACUUCUACUUACCUACAUCCCACACAAUAUGGACAGGAAAAAAAGCAGAGUGCAUUUUAUAAUUUCAGAGGAUGGAAGACAGCAGCAAUUAAUUAAUGAAGACUGAAGAAAUACUUAUUAUAAUGUUUAAAAUGUUCUUUUGUACUUAUUUGACAAAAAUCCCAAGAUUCAUCAGUUUCUGGAAACUCAACGCAAGGUAAGAGCUGCAGCUGACUUUGAAUCUGACAUAUGUGUGAAGUAAGAACCCAAUCGACAUUGAAAUGCCAGUCUGUGAUUUCCCUUGAGGUAUUGCUUUAGUUUCUGUUCCAUCAAAAGCACACCAGCUGUAACUAUGUGUUAAAUAUUUAUUUUGGAGAUGGAUAGAAAGGAAAAUUAGACACAGCCUCCACUUUCAAAAAUUUUAAUCUGGUAAGGGUGACAGACUGAAGGGAGUACACAAAUCAGAUUUAGGGAGUGAACAAGAUAGUGGUUGUGGGGAAAAUGUUGAAGGUGAGCUGCAAAAGGAAUAUUGAAGCCCUGUGGGUCUGAGAACAGAAAUGCUGUUGUUGGGAUGUCUUUUAAUUCCCAUCUAGGUUGAUAGGGAGAAUUUUUUAAUACAUUCCACCCGAAUGUGGAAUCUGAUAACACUCAUUAGUUUGCCCAUGGUAUCUAGUAGUUUUAUGACAUCUACACACUUAAACUUUGGAAUGGUGUGUCCCUCAUGGUGGAGGGGAGGCGAAGCACAUAAACAAUUUCAGGGACUUCUUUCUAAAGUCCUUAGGCAAUCAUCCAACCUCUGUGUGUCUCAGUUUCUCAAUCUGUAAAACAGUAAUGCAAUAUCUAUUCCACAAAAUAGUUGUGAGAAUUAAAUGAGAUAAUCAUAUAAAGUAUCUAGCACAGAUCCUAGACCAAAUGUUCAAUAAAAAGCAGUCAUUAUUUUAUCCUUUCUUUCUUUUUUCUGUGAGACUGGCUUUCCUUCACUGUCACUGAUGAGACACUAACCAAGCUGGGGGAUCAAACAAGGGACGCUUCACCAAGAAUUCCACAUGAAUGGUUUACGAUGUUGGUGAAAUGUUCUCUAUGAUACCACAAAAUGUCUUCUUAAAACCAACCAAAUAAUGUUGAUCAGUAAAUUUCCUUCUUCAGUGAUCUCUGUGGACAGAAGAGUUUGAGGCACAUGAACAAAGAAUGCUCAAGAUUAUUGGGAUCUGGAAGGUACUUUGUGAACACAUGAGGCUGCGCACCUGUACUCUAUGAUGGUGGUUGACAUUGGUGGUGGGAAGAUUUCAACUUUUCUCUAAUUUAAGAAGAUUUAAAUAAAGCAUCCAAAGCGUUGCUGCCAACAUGAAGAAAGGCUGUGUGUCUUACAAUAUUCUACUGGACUUACCGUAGAUUAGUUCUUUGGGGAUAUCUGGAACUAGUGUACCUGCACGUAAAGAUGUAAAGUUACUCGUAAGAUAAAUGUGUUUUCAGGAUGUCAGAUUGCUGUUAUCAGUAGAGCUAAAUCCAGAGACUAGAGUGAAUGGAGAAACUCAUUAACUUACUGUAAAAGUGAACGUAUGUCUUUGAAGGACAUCAUUUCUAAUUUUAAAUACAGAUAAGCCCAAUAUAAUGUGAUUUAAUUGGCCUAUAUUCUCUAAAUUUAGUAGUACCAAUUCCUGAGAUUUUGAAAUUAUUUAUAAAAAAAUAAACAUAACAUAUUUUAGAAGCCUUUUUGGUCAAAGCUGUAUUAUAUAAUAGGUUUUAUUUUCCUUGGCAUUUUAUGAAAAAGUCAAAAAAUAGCUCGACCAGUGGUGUUACUUACUGGUAAAUGUUUAUUAAUCAGCUCUGGAGAUGAGGUUAGGGAAGUCUUGAUUCAUAGCAUUUGACAAUUAACAUGAUGUAAACACUCCUACAUGGCCAGUUUCAAACUACCACUGGGAUGUCAACUAGCUUAAAAACCUCCUGAAAGUUUAAUAAGUACCUCUUACAAUACAGAAUCAGUCAGCUCCAGCACAUUGGCUAAGACUGAAUUUGUACAAACCAUAAAACGAUCUUCAGAACUUAAGACUUUGUCAAAUUAGUUAUCUAAUGUGGACAGGGAACCUCAGAUACUCUGCCUUAUGACCCUCCAAAUACCCAUAGAAGAAAGGAAAACAUAAUAAGAAUAAGAAUGGGAAAAUUCUGCUAUCUUUGCCAUAUCCAGGACCGUAAAUCAAAUAUAUUGAAAAAGUAUAUGGAAUUUAAUGAAUAGUUCCUUAAGACUUUGAGAUAAAUGACUGCCUCUAAAAUAUCAAGAUUUUAGUACUAAUAGCAUGUUGUUGGAAGUGUAAUAUCAAUAAAUAGCUGUGAAUAAAUAAUUUGCUGACAGUUACUAAA